AAGCGAACCAAACAACUCGAAAAUUUCUGACACUUGCAUCGAUACCUGCUCUAAAUUAUUUUCAAGCGGUUGUCGGUUCAAUGUCGACCGAGCGCCAUAAAGUGCUACAAAAGUGCAGGAAUCUACCCCCACCAUGCACCCGCAAGCAGCACUGCGUAUAGUUGCAGCUAUCGUGAGUACUUGUACUGAGCCAAACGGCAUUACUGCAGAGAUUGUUUUCUCUCUCUCUCUCUCUUUCUCUCUAAACUGUCAUUCAAAACACAACAGAGAUUGGAUCGAGAAUCAAAUUCAAAAACGUUCAAUCUUGUUGAGACAAAAUGAGACAAAAUUAGGAUUCAUAUAUUAUAAAAUCUUAUUGGAUGAUGAAGCUCCGGUGAAGUAUUGCCGAUGAACUCGGGUCAUCGCAUAUCGCUAAAAUUAACUUCAUCACGGAAAUAACUAAGUUGAACGGGUGUAAAAAAAAACUAAAACCUAUUAUGGUUGAUGCCAUUAGAAUUAGGUGUUGCUGCUUCCGUUGUAGAGCGCGGGUGUGACGAAUGUUUCGAUGGAGAAAUUUGCAGCUGUCAGGAUUUCACUGGUGAUGAUACAAUGACGGAUUAUAUACGAAACGCCAGUAGUGAUGAUUAACUACCAUCUCGAUAUCAGGAGGAAACCAGUACGAAUUCGCAAACUGCACCGAAAAAGAAAACUUUGAUGCUGGGAACGGUUGUAAUGGACCGGACGGCAAUGCUAUGGGGGAACAUUCCUUUAAUUCAAAGUUUAUUUCUUUCUUGUUAUUACUCAAUUUUAGUAUCGGGGACCGUUUAUCUUUAGAUAGCUCACAACAAAUAAUUCUCAAUCCGUAUAGCGGAUUCUUAUACAGUGCUAGAGAAGAAAAUAAUGUACCAAUGUUUUGAAUAUAUAACCUACACAAAUAUUUGUAAACAUUCCCGCUCUAAAUUAUUUUCGAGUAGUUAUCGACACCACGUCGACCGAGCGACGAAAAGUGCUACAAAAGUGAUGGAAUCCAACCCCGCCUUGUCCCCCGCAGAUAGCACUACCUAAAGUUUCAGCCAUAAUUACUGGAAGAUAACUCUAACUGAGUGAAACGGCAUCACUGGCGUUUGCUUUUUCUCUUUCACGCUGGACUGUCAUUUGAAUAAACAAAUGAGAGCGGAGCGGACGGGAAAUUAUUAAAAACAACUGAAUUCUAAACAACAUUUGGUUAUCCACUCGUGAUUUGGUGUCUACGAAAUAAAAGGAAUAAGGAGACUUGAUAUUUUUCAUGUAAUGCUGCCAAUGAUUGCCGUAACGAUACUGCUAUUCCGGCUAUGUCGCUGUGAAAAUGUGCUGCUUUACACCUCGAGCGUCUUGUACGGAACUAUGGAUACAUUCAGGAUAAAGAAUUAAAGGAAACUAUAUAAUUCAAAUAAGGUGGCUUUGGGUUGCGCGUCUUUAAUCAGAACAGAUUGUCUCUAAGCAACAGUUACACAUAUUCUUCAUAUGUGAAAACAAAAAAUAGGUUGAAUCGGCAACAAUCAUAAAACAAUGAAUAUACCGCAUUGUUUCUGCCACUUCCUAACUUUCACAUUUGAACUGCUUCGUCAGUUGCCGGUGUCACCAAUUCAGCGAAUGCAUUACAUUGUGAAUUUACCUCGUCUAAAUUAGAAAAGCAUUACACGAGUAUUGGACUGGAUGGAAUCACUUGGAAUAGAAUUAUGAUGGCUCGAAAUGUUUUAUCAGUAUACUGUAAAUUCUCGAACCAAUACAAACAUGAGCUGAGAGGAAAUUUACUAAUGCUAUAACAUUUUAUUGUAUAGUCGUUGAUUCUGUAGUAUAGUUAUGUAUAUCAUAGUAUAGUCAUAUUGCAUAGUGAUAGUAUCAGUAUAAAUAUGUACAAAUUAAAUUAAAAAUAAAAUGGUUCAAUGUUUA